CUUGUUGUUGACGCGGAUUUUGUUUCACAGCGCUAAUAAGGUUAUCUUACCGUCAGUGGUGUUGGAAAAUGAGAUAAAAAAGAGUACCUGCUGAAGUGCAGCCUCCAGUCUGUCCUGCUUGCUGACCGACAGUUUGCACACAGCCUCCCAGCGGCCCUCCAGCUCAUCCAUCUGCUCCUGAAGCCAGUGAGCAUCAGCUGUGCUGCUCCGGGUCAGAUCCCUCACAGAGCGCUUCAGAGUCCUAAUGCAUCCAGCCCUCUUCCCCAACUCCUUCUGGAAGGCCUGCAAGAAGAAAAAAAACAGUUCUGCAAUCUUACACUUUUAAAGUCUGGGAUAUAGAAAUUAAAUGACAAGAAGUCAUGUGGAGAUUGGAAGUGGGAGCUAAUCCUUGAAGACUAUCAUAACCUUCAUUGAACAUCCUCAGCGAGUUGGGGCUCUGCUCUGUACAGCCAGUCAUUCAGAGCCUGCAGAGCGUCAGUGAAUCUACCUGAGAACAGCAGCGCCUCCUCCAGCUUGUGCUGCCUGAGCAAAUCAUAUAAAGAUAAGACAUCAAUAUUCAAAGAUCAAGAUUGUGUACUUAAAUGGUAUUCUUAAUCAGCUGUUGGCAGUUCCAUACCUCUCCAUAGACUUCCCACUGAUGGUGUCCCAUGUGUCUUUGAGUUCAGCCAGCAGGUUUUCAAGAUGCUGUCUAUCAUGGCUGGUUUGAGCUCUCUCAUGAAGGGUGCGUCCACUCUUUGAUGUUGCAUCAUACAUCGGCCUUUUUGACCUCAGUAGUUUCUGGAACUCCUGUUAUCAAAUUAAGUAUUCAGGUUAGGUAUUCAUAAAAAAUCUAAUAUUACCAAAGAGUAUCCCUUGUAAUGUUUACUGCACCUUUUGCUCAGUCAGUUGUUGUUUAAUCUCCUCGUGGGACACAGCGAUCUCUUUGUGUGUGUCCAAUGUCUGUUCUACCUCCGUCAUCCAGUCCACUAGCAGGCGCCAUGAUUCAAGGAACUGAAGUAUGAUAAAUAUAGACAGAUUUAAAACUCAAGUUCCUCUGAGUCACACUUUAAGUCAGGGGUUC